rnacentral:lncRNA from 1 species
GGGCACUUGGGGGUCGCAAAGGGUACACAGGGGGGUCCCAGAGGGCACUUGGGGGUCCCAAAGGGCACUUGGGGGUCUCAGAGGGCACUUAGGGGGUCUCAGUGGGCAUUUGGGGGUCCCAGGGGGCACUUGGGGGGCCCAGAGGGCACUUGGGGGUCCCAGAGGGCAUUUGGGGGUCCCAGGGGGCACUUGGGGGUCUCAGAGGGUACUUGGGGGUCCAAGGGGUCACUUGGGGGUCCCAGGGGGCACUUGGGGGUCCCGGAGGGGACCUGGGGGUCUCAGAUGGCACUUGGGGGUCCCAGAGGGCAGUUGGGGGUCUCAGAUGGCACUUGGGGGUCUCAGAGGGCAGUUGGGGGUCUCAGAGGGCACUUGGGGGUCCCAGAGGGCAUUUGGGGGUCCCAGGGGGCACUUGGGGGUCCCAGGGGGCACUUGGGGGUCUCAGAGGGCAGUUGGGGGUCCCAGAGUGCACUUGAGGGUCCUGGAAGGCACUUUGGGGUCUCAGAGGGCACUUGGGGGUCCAUGGGGGCACUUGGGGGUCUCAGAGGGCACUUGGGGGUCCAUGGGGGCACUUGGGGGUCUCAGAGGGCAUUUGGGGGUCCCAGGGGGCACUUGGGGGUCCUGGAGGGCACUUGGGGGUCCCGUGGGGCACUUGGGGGUCACAAAGGGUACACAGGGGGUCUCAGAUGGCACUUAGGGGCUCCAAGGGUGCACUUGGGGGUCUCAGUGGGCACCUGUGGGUCCAAGGGGGCAAAUGGGGGGCCCAAAGGGUACACAGGGGGUCCUGGAGGGCAUUUGGGGGUCCUGGAGGGCACUUGGGGGUCCCAGAGGGCCCUUU